rnacentral:rRNA from 1 species
AUACGGAGGGUCCGAGCGUUAUCCGGAAUCAUAGGGUUUAAAGGGUCCGUAGGCGGGAAUCUAAGUCAGUGGUGAAAUCUUGCAGCUCAACUGUAAAAUUGCCAUUGAUACUGGAUUUCUUGAAUUAGUGUGAAGUGGUUAGAAUGUGUAGUGUAGCGGUGAAAUGCAUAGAUAUUACACAGAAUACCAAUUGCGAAGGCAGAUCACUAACACUAUAUUGACGCUAAGGGACGAAAGCGUGGGGAGCGAACAGGAUUAGAAACCCCUGUAGUCC